AGCAGCAGCCGCGGUAAUACGAAGGGUGCAAGCGUUACUCGGAAUUACUGGGCGUAAAGCGUGCGUAGGUGGUGGUUUAAGUCCGUUGUGAAAGCCCUGGGCUCAACCUGGGAAUUGCAGUGGAUACUGGGUCACUAGAGUGUGGUAGAGGAUAGUGGAAUUUCCGGUGUAGCAGUGAAAUGCGUAGAGAUCGGAAGGAACAUCUGUGGCGAAGGCGACUAUCUGGGCCAACACUGACACUGAGGUACGAAAGCGUGGGGAGCAAACAGGAUUAGAUACCCCUGUAGUCCCUGUCUCUUAUAC
rnacentral:rRNA from 1 species